GCAGUCGAGGGGUAUAGUUCUUCGGAAUUAGAGACCGGCGCACGGGUGCGUAACGCGUAUGCAAUCUACCUUUUACAGCGGGAUAGCCCAGAGAAAUUUGGAUUAAUACCUCAUAGUAUAGUACAAUCGCAUGAUUGAACUAUUAAAGUCACAACGGUAAAAGAUGAGCAUGCGUCCCAUUAGCUAGUUGGUAAGGUAACGGCUUACCAAGGCUACGAUGGGUAGGGGUCCUGAGAGGGAGAUCCCCCACACUGGUACUGAGACACGGACCAGACUCCUACGGGAGGCAGCAGUGAGGAAUAUUGGUCAAUGGGCGCAAGCCUGAACCAGCCAUGCCGCGUGCAGGAUGACGGUCCUAUGGAUUGUAAACUGCUUUUGUACAGGAAGAAACACCUCUACGUGUAGAGACUUGACGGUACUGUAAGGAUAAGGAUCGGCUAACUCCGUGCCAGCAGCCGCGGUAAUACGGAGGAUCCAAGCGUUAUCCGGAAUCAUUGGGUUUAAAGGGUCCGUAGGCGGUUUGGUAAGUCAGUGGUGAAAGCCCAUCGCUCAACGGUGGAACGGCCAUUGAUACUGCCAGACUUGAAUUAUUAGGAAGUAACUAGAAUAUGUAGUGUAGCGGUGAAAUGCUUAGAGAUUACAUGGAAUACCAAUUGCGAAGGCAGGUUACUACUAAUGGAUUGACGCUGAUGGACGAAAGCGUGGGUAGCGAACAGGAUUAGAUACCCUGGUAGUCCACGCCGUANACGAUGGAUACUAGCUGUUGGGAGCAAUCUCAGUGGCUAAGCGAAAGUGAUAAGUAUACCACCUGGGGAGUACGUUCGCAAGAAUGAAAACUCAAGGAAUUGACGGGGGCCCGCACAAGCGGU
rnacentral:rRNA from 1 species